rnacentral:rRNA from 1 species
AUUGAACGCUGGCGGCAGGCCUAACACAUGCAAGUCGAGCGGAGCGGCGGACGGGCGAGUAAUUCCUAGGUAUCUGCCUGGUAUUGGGGGAUAACGUCCGUAAACGGGCGCUAAUACCGCAUCCUAUCAGAUGAGCCUAGGUCGGAUUAGCUAGUUGGUGUGGUAAAGGCCUACCAAGGCGACGAUCCGUAACUGGUCUGAGAGGCUGAUCAGUCACACUGGAACUGAGACACGGUCCAGACUCCUACGGGAGGCAGCAGUGGGGAAUAUUGGACAAUGGGCGAAAGCCUGAUCCAGCCAUGCCGCGUGUGUGAAGAAGGUCUUCGGAUCGUAAAGCACUUUAAGUUGGGAGGCGGUACCAAAAGAGUAAGCACCGGCUAACUACGUGCCAGCAGCCGCGGUAAUUC